CUGUGAAGGGUGUGACUAAGCUUAGAAAUCAAGAUGCCUGACAAUAAAUCAUAUUUUCAGUAUGCCUGUGAAUUUUCGAAUGGUACAUCAAUUCCAUUAUUAGGCAGUUGUAAUGGCUGCACAUUAUUUGACCUAGAGACAAAUCCCCUGGGAUGGAGAUUAUGUGCAGGUGUGACUGCUGUCAAACAUCUCACCUGCCAUCCAUCCUUGCCUGGCCUUUCAUGAUAUGCACAGGAUGUUUUGAUUUUUUUUUCCUGUUUAUUACACAUAUUGCCUCAUUUCUGUUAAUCUUUUUUUUUUUUUUUUUUUUUUGGUCUUUUUAGGGCCACACCCAAGGCAUAAGGAGGUUCUCAGGCUAGGGGUCUAAUCAGAGCUACAGCUGCCGGCCUACAUCACAGCCACAGCAAUGCCAGAUCGGAGCUGUGUCUGCGACCUACACCACAGCUCAUGGCAACACGGGAUCCUUAACCCACUGAGCAAGGCCAGGGAUCGAACCUUCAUCCUCAUGGAUGCUAGUCAGAUUUGCUUCUGCUGAGCUAUGAUGGGAGUUCCCAGGAUGUUUUGAUUUUUUUGGAAAGCAGAUGAAAUGGAAGGAAGAGAUGAAUUUAUUGCACAUGCACACACACUGAACAGAGGGAGGCAUAUGUACACACAGCAGGCCUUAAGCUGUAUUAAAGCACAGAUAAUGUUUUCGCUGUUGUUUUGUGUCUGUCUCCACACAUUUAACAUAAUUUCAGAAUUGAGCUGCCCUUUUCCUUCCAGAUCCCCUUUGUAUAGUCUGCAUGUUAUAAACUGGCCAACCAGAGACAGCAUCUAAUUUUUGUCUGUGUACUACUAUGUAUGCAUUUUAAGAACAGAAAAAUAAUCAAGAUUCUUGAAAGCUAAAAAUAAUGUCAGCCUAAUUUUCCAAACUUCGUUCAUGGUCUCCAUUAAAAUGAGAAUUACUUGAAAUUCCUGUCGUGGCUCAGCGGGUUAAGAAUCUGACUAGUGUCCAUAAGGAUGUGGGUUCGAUGCCUGGCCUUGCUCAAUGGGUUAAAAAUCUGGCAUGGCCGUGAGCUACGGUGUAGGUCGCAGAUGAGUCUUGGAUCUGGUACUGGUGUUGCUGUGGCUGUGGCAUAGGCCUGCAGCUGUAGCUCCAAUUUGACCUCUGGCCCCCUGGCCCAUAUGCUGCAGGUACAACCAUAAAAAGAAGAAAAAAAAAAAAAA
rnacentral:lncRNA from 1 species